CGUUGGCUGGUGUUACGGUGUCGAGCGUUUCUCUGCUGAUGUGCAAAUGAUGAUUGGAAAACGCCUACCUGUGAUCUACAAAGUUGUUUGUUUCAUCAUCGUCCCUGCUCUCCUGACCAUAGCUUUGGUUUUGACGUUGGCUUCAUACAAGUCUCCAAGAUACGGUGAGUACGACUACCCCACGUCGGCCAUCGUCUUCGGAUGGUUCAUUGCUCUUGUGUCCGUAGUUCCUGUUCC